rnacentral:rRNA from 1 species
CUACACCUGAUACAAGCAAGAUUACCCGCUGAACUAAGCAUAUCAGUA